CCUACGGGAGGCAGCAGUGGGGAAUAUUGGACAGUGGGCGAAAGCCUGAUCCAGCCCUGCCGCGUGUGUGAAGAAGGCCCUCGGGUUGUAAAGCACUUUCAGCGAGGAAGAACGCCUAGCGGUUAAUACCCGCUAGGAAAGACAUCACUUGCAGAAGAAGCACCGGCUAACUCCGUGCCAGCAGCCGCGGUAAUACGGAGGGUGCAAGCGUUAAUCGGAAUUACUGGGCGUAAAGCGCGCGUAGGUGGCUUGAUAAGCCGGUUGUGAAAGCCCCGGGCUCAACCUGGGAACGGCAUCCGGAACUGUCAAGCUAGAGUGCAGGAGAGGAAGGUAGAAUUCCCGGUGUAGCGGUGAAAUGCGUAGAGAUCGGGAGGAAUACCAGUGGCGAAGGCGGCCUUCUGGACUGACACUGACACUGAGGUGCGAAAGCGUGGGUAGCAAACAGGAUUAGAUACCCUGGUAGUCCACGCCGUAAACGAUGUCGACCAGCCGUUGGGUGCCUAGCGCACUUUGUGGCGAAGUUAACGCGAUAAGUCGACCGCCUGGGGAGUACGGCCGCAAGGUUAAAACUCAAAUGAAUUGACGG
rnacentral:rRNA from 1 species